AACAGCCGCGGUAAUUCCAGCUCCAAUAGCGUAUAUUAAAGUUGUUGCAGUUAAAAAGCUCGUAGUUGAAUUUCGGGGUUAGUAGGUUGGUCGUGCCACUGGUAUGUACUGGUUCUACUGAUCCCUCCUUCUUGUAGAACCGUAAUGCCAUUCACUUGGUGUUGCGGGGAAACAGGACUGUUACUUUGAAAAAAUUAGAGUGUUUAAAGCAGGCUAACGCUUGAAUACAUUAGCAUGGAAUAAUGAAAUAGGACGUUCGAUCCUAUUUUGUUGGUUUCUAGGAUUGACGUAAUGAUUAAUAGGGAUAGUUGGGGGCAUUAGUAUUCAAUUGUCAGAGGUGAAAUUCUUGGAUUUAUUGAAGACUGACUACUGCGAAAGCAUUUGCCAAGGAUGUUUUCAUUAAUCAAGAACGAAAGUUAGGGGAUCGAAGACGAUCAGAUACCGUCGUAGUCUUAACCAUAAACUAUGCCGACUAGGGAUCGGAUGAUGUUAAUUUUUUAAUGACUCAUUCGGCGCCUUA
rnacentral:rRNA from 1 species